UGAAAGCACUGUUUUUCUUUCAAAUCUGGAGGCUUUGUUUCCAGGAUUCAUGCACUGUGUGGAUAUCAGCAUAUUCUUGGGAUUAUCUGCAUUGGAGGAUGAUCCUAAUUCCUUUGACCUAUAAAAAGGUAGCCUUUGCGGAGGAGCUGGUUAUAUGAGCCCAUUUGAGUGUCACAGGUGUAAACAGGCCUCAUCAUUAAAUGUUUUAUGUAGACCUUAUUCCAUCUGUGAUCCAAAUAAAUUGGAUAUGCAGUCUUUCCUACUUGAACACACUUUCACCUGAGCAAAAUGUUUUGUUACCAUAGCAUUUUAUUUUUUCAAACUGUGAGAUAUGUUUUCUGUUUUAUCACUGGAAUGUUCCGCUGUGUUACAGAGAUUUUCCAUUGCCCACACAUCGAAAGACAAUCUUCCCACAAACAUAAUUCCCCUCAUUGUCAAACAAUUGCCAAAAUGAUCUGAUAGAGGAGCAUUAAACGCCAACCUGUCUUUAUCUCAAAACAUCUUCAUCUACAGCAGGUCAACAUACAGAGCCUGUUGAUUUUUGACACCACAAGCAUGGAACAGUCUGGGCCGUGAUCAGCUCAGGCAGAAUUACGCUUGAGACGGAAGUCUCCCUGAGUCUCCCUCUGCCCUGCAGUCAGUCCAUUCUUCCAGAAACAGCCAACUGACAACAUCUUCUUCCAUCAUAAUCAUUUUCUUAACAUACAUUCAUCUGUCUCAUCAUUUGAUAUAUCAUUAAAUAUCUAAAACACA